AACGAACGCUGGCGGCGUGCCUAACACAUGCAAGUCGAGGGAGAAAAGGGACUUCGGUCUCUGAGUAAACCGGCGCACGGGUGAGUAACACGUAGGUAACGUACCCUUGAGUCUGGGAUAACCAGUCGAAAGAUUGGCUAAUACCAGAUACGACUGUGGGAACUCCGGCUCCUACAGUGAAAGAUGGCCUCUGCUUGCAAGCUAUCACUCGUGGAUCGGCCUGCGCACCAUUAGCUAGUUGGUGAGGUAACGGCUCACCAAGGCUGAGAUGGUUAGCUGGUCUGAGAGGAUGGCCAGCCACACUGGGACUGAGACACGGCCCAGACUCCUACGGGAGGCAGCAGUGGGGAAUAUUGCGCAAUGGGCGAAAGCCUGACGCAGCGACGCCGCGUGGGUGAUGAA
rnacentral:rRNA from 1 species